rnacentral:lncRNA from 1 species
GGCAGAGAACGGACAAGAGACAGAGAUAGAGAUAGAGACAGUAACAUGACAAUCAACUUUAGUAAUAAAUCAAUUAAUGGCAUUCCGGCUCGUGCAAACAUCAAAGAAAAUUAUGACUUUUCUCAACAUGUUCGCCUGUCUGUUGAUAAGGCAAAAGUCUGGUCUGACUCUCGCUCUCUCUCUCUGACAAUGGAAAACGUGGCAGGGAGGAGUAACCGAUCGCUGG